rnacentral:rRNA from 1 species
AAAAGAUGGCGUCUAUUAGCGUAUGUUGAGCUUAAAACGCUCUGUAGUAUGGAUGUCGGAAAUGGACUCCUUGGGUGUCUGUCACUCCAUAUGUGAGUGUUCGUGACCCACAGUGUUUUACCGUUUCUAUUUUCGACUGGAAUCGGGUAUGUUUUUUGUGCAUUUACUUGCACGAUGUGCCUACACUCCUCACAAGGGAGUGGAACGGUUUCGGUCAUGUUACUGUGAAGAAAUCAGAGUGCUCAAAGCAGGCAUUUGUCCGAAUGGAUUAGCAUGGGAUAACCACCCUUGACCUCGGUCUUUGGGAGUUGGUUCAAAAGAUCGAUGGCGCUUGAUUAAUAGGAACAGUCGGGGGCAUUCGUAUUCCGAAGUCAGAGGUGAAAUUCUUGGAUUUUCGGAAGACGAACAUAUGCGAAAGCAUUUGCCAAGGAUGUUUUCAUUAAUCAAGAACGAAAGUUCGGGGAUCGAAGACGAUCAGAUACCGUCGUAGUCCGAACCAUAAACGAUGCCGACUAGGGAUUGGAAGAUGUGCUUUUGCCAUCUUUCAGCACCUUCCGAGAAAUCAAAGUUUUUGGGUUCCGGGGGGAGUAUGGUCGCAAGGCUGAAACUUAAAGGAAUUGACGGAAGGGCACCACCAGGAGUGGAGCCUGCGGCUUAAUUUGACUCAACACGGGGAAACUUACCAGGUCCAGACAUAGGAAGGAUUGACAGAUUGACAGCUCUUUCUUGAUUCUAUGGGUGGUGGUGCAUGGCCGUUCUUAGUUGGUGGAGUGAUUUGUCUGGUUAAUUCCGAUAACGAACGAGACCUUCACCUCUAAAUAGUGUGCAUCUCUAUACUUCUUGUGAGGUGAGUUUUGGAGAAAAGUGGGUUCGCUCGCAAUUUUCCUCUCUCUUACUUGAACGAGAUGUCCUUUUUAAUCACACUUCUUAGAGGGACGAUGUGCGUUAGCACCAAGGAGUUGGACGCCAUA